UUGGUGGGGUANNGGGCUACCAGGCGACGAUCGGUAGCUGGUCUGAGAGGAUGACCAGCCACACUGGAACUGAGACACGGUCCAGACUCCUACGGGAGGCAGCAGUGGGGAAUAUUGGACAAUGGGGGCAACCCUGAUCCAGCAAUGCCGCGUGUGUGAAGAAGGCCUGAGGGUUGUAAAGCACUUUCAGUGGGGAGGAGGGUUGAUAGGUUAAGAGCUAAUUAACUGGACGUUACCCACAGAAGAAGCACCGGCUAACUCCGUGCCAGCAGCCGCGGUAAUACGGAGGGUGCGAGCGUUAAUCGGAAUUACUGGGCGUAAAGGGUGCGUAGGUGGUUGAUUAAGUUAUCUGUGAAAUUCCUGGGCUUAACCUGGGACGGUCAGAUAAUACUGGUUGACUCGAGUAUGGGAGAGGGUAGUGGAAUUUCCGGUGUAGCGGUGAAAUGCGUAGAGAUCGGAAGGAACACCAGUGGCGAAGGCGGCUACCUGGCCUAAUACUGACACUGAGGCACGAAAGCGUGGGGAGCAAACAGGAUUAGAUACCCUGGUAGUCCACGCUGUAAACGAUGUCCACUAGCUGUUGGUUAUAUGAAAAUAAUUAGUGGCACAGCAAACGCGAUAAGUUGACCGCCUGGUGAGUACGGACGCAAGAUUAAAACUCACAGGAAUUGACGGGGGCCCGCACAAGCGGUGGAGCAUGUGGUUUAAUUCGAUGCAACGCGAAAAACCUUACCUACCCUUGACAUACAGCGAAUUUUGCAGAGAUGCAUUAAUGCCUUCGGGAACACUGAUACAGGUGCUGCAUGGGUGUCGUCCGUUCGCGUCAUGAGAUGUAGUGUUAAGUCCUGCCACGAGGGAGAGUUUAUCCUUAGUUGCCUGCAUGCGAUGGGGGGGGGUCUAACGAAACAGCCGUUGACAAACGGA
rnacentral:rRNA from 1 species